UCCGGUUUGUCACCGGCAGUCUCAUUAGAGUGCCCUUGCGUAGCAACUAAUGAUAAGGGUUGCGCUCGUUGCGGGACUUAACCUAACAUCUCACGACACGAGCUGACGACAGCCAUGCAGCACCUAUAUACCGCUCCCCGAAGGGAUACCCCACUUUCAUGGGAUUACAGUACACUUCGAGCCCAGGUAAGGUUCUUCGCGUUGCAUCGAAUUAAACCACAUGCUCCACCGCUUGUGCGGGCCCCCGUCAAUUCCUUUGAGUUUCACCCUUGCGAGCGUACUCCCCAGGUGGGUCACUUAAUGCGUUAGCGUCGUUUCCGAGGGGGUCGAAUCCCCCGACAACUAGUGACCAUCGUUUACGGUGUGGACUAC
rnacentral:misc_RNA from 1 species